rnacentral:lncRNA from 1 species
GAGCGGCGGAGGAGGACGUCGGCGAUGAGAGCGACGACGAUGCUAUCCGUUUUUUUGGGCGAAUGAUUCGCGAAUCGCGAAUGAUUCGCGGAUAAUUAUUUUUGUCGAAAAAAACGCGUUUUUUUUUGAAUUUUUCGAAAAAAUACGUAUACAGGCGUUUUAUUCGGUUAUUCAAAAAUUCGUGAAUAAUUCGCGAAUUAUUCGCGAAUUUACUAACUAGGAUAACAACUGCUAAGUCAUAAUUACAUGUACCUUUCUAGAGACGAGAAUGCUCAUUUAAGACAAAAUACAAAAAGUAAAGUAUUGUUAAUAAGAUGAAAGGGUGCAAUAUUCUCUCAAAUAGUGCAACAUCCUCUCAAAUGGUGCAACAUUAGAGAGAAUGUUGCACUAUUUCAUUCUAAUGUUGCAAUCUUUCAUUGUAUUAAUGAUAAUUUAUUUUUUAUUUUAUCUUAAUUAAAUGAGGAUUCU